rnacentral:lncRNA from 1 species
UUGGUUGUAAUAUCGUGCGUUUUGCUGAUAUUCCCGCUUUUACUGGGCUACUCUCGUGUUGUUGAACUGUUGCUGUUGUGUGCGCUGCUAUUGCUUCCUACCGAUCUUCCUCUUCUUUGUAUUCCAAUACCAGGUACACCACUUUGAAUCACUUUGAUGUACGCCUUGAAGAUGAAAUGAAAUGGCAGAAAUUUAUGUAUUUAGUUAUAAUAUAUUUUUAUCUUAGUUAAACAUUAAUUAUAUACUUUCCUGCUAUACGAAUGGUAGAGGUAUGCCUAAUUAAGAUUGUUUCCUAUUAGAUUGCGAAACUAAAA